AUCUUAGGCUUCAGAUCCCAGUUUACCAUUCAUGUUGACUGAAUGAGAAAAAAUAUGAAAAAUAAAAUUAAUUUUAUUAAUGUCUUAAUGUACUGUGAAAGACUCCAGAAGAAUAAAGGUUUUGUUUCCCCAACAUUGAGAGAACCAGCUAUGUAAUCAGUUUAUCUAAAUUCCACCCAUUCUUUCACAGGUCAAAGUUUAAGAUUUUCUUUUGCCACUGCCUUGAAUUUUACAAUUUGGUUGAAUGAAGGCUUUUCUACUGAGUAGAUAGAAUACACUUUAAGAGUUAUGGUUAAAUUGGAAUUCAAACUUAUUAAAUUUUUACCAACUAAAUUGAUUUUUAACAUUUUUAAAGUUAAAAAUUAAUACCGAAUUUAAAAACACCACGUGAAACAUAAUUGGUUCACGACUUUGUGAUGGUAAAACUUAAUCUGGGAAUUAAGUCCCAUUGUCAUACACAAGGUAUUUAAUUUACAACAACAAAAAAAUGAGGGAGAGGGUGAAGAGGAUGAAGGGAAGCCAUAGCACAGGUGCUUUUGGGGUCCCUGAAGAAGACUCGAUAUUGCUUCUGUGUGAAAACUGAAAACUUACAUAGAUGAAAGUCCUCACUGAAGACAAGGUUAGACAGAAGCACCAAGAGAAAGAGCAACGUUCACUUUCUGUUCCGGGGGCGCGCUGGGAAGCGAGUCACAUGUCCCGGGUGCUAAAAUUUAUUCCUCAUUUUGGGGUGCCCGUCCUCUGUCUACCCAGCUAGUCACAUUUCUUUGUGCCGUCGUAUGCACAGACUGGAUUUUCCUGACCUGGGGAUUCUGUUUCCCAUAGCUUACCAGGUUAACUCCUGCUGUAGCGUCAUUCUGUUGCUGUGACAAACACCAUGACCAAAAGCAGCUUAGGGGAGGAGAUGAUCUAUCAGCUCACAGAACUCCACCACGUAUAUUUCCUGCCAACUGGAUCGCUAUAGGAAACUGACCCCUGGAAGGUGGAGGAUAAAUAUGAACAGGACAAGAGGGGAAAUCUCUCAUCUUCCUCCAGUGAGGGGGAAAUUAAAGUGCAGAGAUGGAAAUCUUCCAGAGGAAGAAAGACCAACACAGAUUCUAGUGAUACAUCCUUAAUGGAAAUAAAAAUGCCAGCACUAGACUUGGAGGGGUUCUCUCUUGCUAUUUCUUUCUCAUACGAUCAUAGAAAAGCCAGCCAAAGAGAAAGCUUUGGAACAGAAGGAGAGUAAAAACUAGCCACGACAUUAACUAUUCUGAAGCUCAGAGAGAUGGGUGCUCAGGGGCUUCCUUGAGAAAGCAUUCUGACGCCCAGUGAGACAUCAACACAGCCACCAACAGCAACUGUUUGACGGUCUCCUUGGUUUUUACCGUGACUUGUAUUAUGGAAAAUUUCAAAUAUAUGCAAAAAACGUACACGUGGCAACAUAGUUGCUAUAUACGCUCGUCUUAGCUAAUCAUCACAUCAAGGCUGCUUUUGUUUCAUGCAGACACAUUGUGGAAAUUCCUGACAUGAGAGGUUAUUUCUGUGUUUUUAGGCCUGCAUGCCACAGGAAGUGAGUUGUGAGUGUAACUGUGAGCGGCCACAGCUGGAAACCAUGGUCCUCCAGACCAGCACAGGUGUUUUAGCUUCCUGUGACAUCAUAACCUUUAAAAACUGAGGUCGGAGUUUUUCAGUUCCCUGCUCUAAAUUAUUAGCUCAAUUAUUUUAAAGGGACAUAAACUUUAGUCCAGGAAGGCCAUUUUGUUCUAAGACUGUGUACAGCUUUUGGUCACCAGAAUAUUUUGAAAUAAAUUGAGUCUUUAACUAAAAUGAUUUCACUUGAAUUAAAAUCUACUAAUGAUUUAUUGUGGAAAACAACGCCAUCUGAGAACAACCAGUCUUGACA